ensembl:lncRNA PAFAH1B2P2 PAFAH1B2 pseudogene 2
GAAACUGCUGAGAAAAGGCUCCUUCUAAACCACAAAACAAGGUUGCUGCUGGUGCUGGGGCCCGAGGAGGUCCGCGCCGGAGGAGGGCCACAGGGACUGAGCGAGUGACAGACGCACCACCCGUCAAUGCUGCAACCCUGUAAGGCCUCCAUGGACUCUCUACGUGAGUGUAGAAUGAAUCAAGCCGACUCAAACACAGCAGCUAUUCCACAUGCAGUGGAAGAUAUUCAAGGAGACGACAGAUGGAUAUCUCAGCACAACAGAUUUGUCCUGGAUGGACAACAUUUUCCUUGCUUAACCUGGACAACGAUCUGGUUGGCUGAUAUGCAAAAACUCUUGUUCAGACGUCCACCCUGGCAUCGAUGUCUCAAGAAGAGAAGAGUUCAAAUUGCUGUUGAUGGUGUUGUUACUGAAUAUAUAAAUAAACCACAAAAAUAACAGAGGACUAGGAAGGGAAGAGCUGUUUUGUUUGACCUUGUUAAAACUGUUGUGCUGUGGGACUUGACUGCUACAAUUAAAAUGAGUUUUUUGGUUUUCCUA